CGGACGGGUGAGUAACACGUAGCUAACCUACCCUGGUGUGGGGGAAUAACAGCCCGAAAGGGGUGCUAAUACCGCAUAAGUUCUUUGGUGUAAGCCGAAGAAGAAACCUUUACCUGGGAAGGUAAGGGGCACUUGGAUGGGGCUGCGGCGGAUUAGCUAGUAGGAGUGGUAAAGGCACACCUAGGCGACGAUCCGUAGCUGGUCUGAGAGGACGACCAGCCACACUGGGACUGAGAGACGGCCCAG
rnacentral:rRNA from 1 species